GACUCUUCAGCUCCAUCUUUUCCACGUGUUUAUCAACGAUGGUGCUUCUGGUCUAUUGAUUACCCUUUCUUUCCGUUCGUCUUUCUCUCCCAUUCUCAGCUUUUGCUUAUUCUAGAACCUUGGGUGUUUUUUCUCCUCUUUCACACGGCCGUUGUUCAUGCUGCCCGUCGUUGUCGGGUUUUUCUCGCCGAUUAACUACGGCGGUUUUCUUGCUUUACAUCGCUCUUACCCAUGGUCGUUUUCUUCGUGGAAAAUUUUCCAUCUUCUGCUUUUCCUUCUAUUUAUGGACUCUGUAAUUUUUGUUGUGGUUGUCGAUCUGGGUUAAAUUAGAAUCCUUUUUUUGGCUAUGCGAUCUAAAGUUCUUUGGAAGAGAGGAUACGAUCAAACGUUUAUUGUUGCAGCAGAAGUUGUUACUCGAAUUUUCCAGUUUUUCUCUGUGGCUUUCCAUACUCUUUAUCAUCAAGUAUUAUUUUGAGGGACGAAUAUGAUUUCGUCAAGUUCAUCAAGAUGGUGCAACAAGCAAGCCUAUUUGUUAAUCUCCAGAUUGGCCCUUAUGUUUGCGCUGAAUGGAACUUCGGGGGAUUCCCAGUUUGGCUGAAAUAUGUCUCCGGAAUAGUUUUUCGAAGGACAAUGAGCCUUUCAAGAGAAGCUGUUUCAAACUCAAGGAGGUCCUAUAAUUCUUUCUCAGGUUAGAAAGCUGGUCGAGUUUUUAAGUUUUUCUGUGAAAUAUUGUUAGAAUCGCUUUUCGCUGAUAGAAAAAGCUUUUAGCCAUUUUAUAAGCAAUCUUAAACAUGACGCUAGUCUUUUAACUUAAUAGUCUGUUUGUUACAACUUUUUCCAUCUUCAUUCAAUCACGUAGAAAGAUGAUUAUAAUUUAGUUGCUCCAAAGAUAAAACAUGGAUUUGUUUAUGAGAUUUCACUUUCUAUACGGGCGAAGUAAAACAUCACACAAAAUUGUCCUACUAGUCGCUCAUUUGUUCUUCAUCAACAGAUUCUAUGAUCUCAGUUUUAUUUUCUCGAUUUCCAACUAUUGUCUCUUAUUGAUAAGAACAACAUUCUCACAAGUAAUAAUUUACAUAUCCCUGACAAAGACCCAUUUAUUGACAACAUGUGCUUAUCAACAUUUUUUGAACAUUUUAAAGAAACUUCCUAAGCUAAUUGUCAAAUUGCAAGAUAUUUUGAAAUACGUUAAUGCAGUACAACCUUUGGAAAAAAAAAUGGUUGCCAAUGAAAGGUUUGAGACCAAAAGUUAAAUUUGUAUUGAAAAUAUGAGGUACAAAGUAUGAUAAAGCAUUUAUAAAAGGAUGAUUACCCUUUUUUACAUUUUUUAAGGUUUAUAAUUCUUUUCCUACAUCUAUGCAUUUGUCUCUCUCAGUUCACAAUUUAGCAGAAUGAGAGUAUAUUUCUGUUUACAAUAAGAUGUGAAUUCUAACCUUUAUUCAUACGUGUAGGCUAAGAAUUGUGGUAGAAGAGUUUAUUGUGGUUAGCUUAGAGGAAAAUGUGAGGUUAGCAAUUUGAAGAGUUUACUUUCUCCUCAUAUGUUUGCUUCAACAUGUGUAAGUUGUAAUUAUUAUUUUUCUCUACAUGGCAUACUUAAAAUUUGUAGAUCAGCAUAUAUUUGUUUUUGACAUUUCUUAUUAAAUGUAUUUGAAGACUGACUGAAGAAAGUAUCCAAUUUUUUAGCAAUUAAAAAAAAAUCACCUCAAUAAUUACAGUUUUAUUCCAAUUUGUAAGCAAGGGGGAAAAACUCUGAAGUUUCAAUGAAGAGAGGAAGUUCUGAAUAGUAUGUUUGUGUAAAUAGGAUUGUAAAUAUGGAUGUACAUAUAUAUGCAAAUAGAGAUGUAAACAUUGUUGUUAAUGUGUCUAAACAGAAUUGUAAACCCGCAACAACGCGCGGGCUCUUUUGCUAGUAUGUACUAUAGUUGUAAUACUGCUCCUCACUCUUGGACCAUA